GACGAACGCUGGCGGCGUGCUUAACACAUGCAAGUCGAACGGUGAAGCGCCUUCCUUUUUGGUGGGUGUGGAUGAGUGGCGAACGGGUGAGUAACACGUGAGUAACCUGCCCCCUUCUUCUGGAUAACCGCAUGAAAGUGUGGCUAAUACGGGAUAUUCUGGGUCUGUCGCAUGAUGGGUCUGGGAAAGAUAUUGUUUCGGUGGGGGAUGGGCUCGCGGCCUAUCAGCUUGUUGGUGGGGUGAUGGCCUACCAAGGCGGUGACGGGUAGCCGGCCUGAGAGGGUGGACGGUCACACUGGGACUGAGACACGGCCCAGACUCCUACGGGAGGCAGCAGUGGGGAAUAUUGCACAAUGGGCGCAAGCCUGAGGCAGCGACGCCGCGUGAGGGAUGGAGGCCUUCGGGUUGUGAACCUCUUUCGCCAGUGAAGCAGGCCUGCCUCGUUUGUGGGUGGGUUGACGGUAGCUGGAUAGAAGCGCCGGCUAACUACGUG
rnacentral:rRNA from 1 species